rnacentral:rRNA from 1 species
GUUGAUAAGGUUAAGUGAAUAAGGGCGCACGGUGGAUGCCUUGGCACUAGGAGCCGAUGAAGGACGGGACUAACACCGAUAUGCUUUGGGGAGCUGUAAGUAAGCUAUGAUCCAGAGAUUUCCGAAUGGGGGAACCCAAUAUCUUUUAUAGGAUAUUACUUUUCAGUGAAUACAUAGCUGAUUAGAGGUAGACGCAGAGAACUGAAACAUCUUAGUACCUGCAGGAAGAGAAAGAAAAUUCGAUUCCCUGAGUAGCGGCGAGCGAAACGGGAAGAGCCCAAACCAACAAGCUUGCUUGUUGGGGUUGUAGGACUCCGAUAUGGUAGUCUGUUAGUAUAGUUGAAGGAUUUGGAAAAUUCCGCUAAAGAGGGUGAAAGCCCCGUAGACGAAAUGCUAACAACACCUAGGAGGAUCCUGAGUACGGCGGAACACGAGAAAUUCCGUCGGAAUCCGCGGGGACCAUCCCGCAAGGCUAAAUACUCCCUAGUGACCGAUAGUGAACCAGUACCGUGAGGGAAAGGUGAAAAGCACCCCGGAAGGGGAGUGAAAUAGAUCCUGAAACCGUGUGCCUACAACAAGUCAAAGCUCGUUAAUGAGUGAUGGCGUGCCUUUUGUAGAAUGAACCGGCGAGUUACGAUUGCAUGCGAGGUUAAGUCGAAGAGACGGAGCCGCAGCGAAAGCGAGUCUGAAUAGGGCGAAUGAGUAUGUAGUCGUAGACCCGAAACCAUGUGAUCUACCCAUGUCCAGGUUGAAGGUGCGGUAAAACGCACUGGAGGACCGAACCCACGUACGUUGAAAAGUGCGGGGAUGAGGUGUGGGUAGCGGAGAAAUUCCAAACGAACUUGGAGAUAGCUGGUUCUCUCCGAAAUAGCUUUAGGGCUAGCCUCGGAAUUGAGAAUGAUGGAGGUAGAGCACUGUUUGGACUAGGGGCCCAUCUCGGGUUACCGAAUUCAGAUAAACUCCGAAUGCCAUUCAUUCAUAUCCGGGAGUCAGACUGUGAGUGAUAAGAUCCAUAGUCGAAAGGGAAACAGCCCAGACCACCAGCUAAGGUCCCCAAAUAACUAUUAAGUGGAAAAGGAUGUGGGGUUGCACAGACAACUAGGAUGUUGGCUUAGAAGCAGCCACCAUUUAAAGAGUGCGUAAUAGCUCACUAGUCGAGUGACCCUGCGCCGAAAAUGUACCGGGGCUAAAUAGUUUACCGAAGCUGUGGAGUGCACCAUCAGGUGCAUUGGUAGGAGAGCGUUCUAAGGGCGUUGAAGGCAGAUCGUGAGGACUGCUGGAGCGCUUAGAAGUGAGAAUGCCGGUAUGAGUAGCGAAAGACAGGUGAGAAUCCUGUCCACCGAAUGACUAAGGUUUCCUGGGGAAGGCUCGUCCGCCCAGGGUUAGUCGGGACCUAAGCCGAGGCCGACAGGCGUAGGCGAUGGACAACAGGUUGAUAUUCCUGUACCCGUUGUUUUUGUUUGAGCAAUGGAGGGACGCAGGAGGCUAAGAAGUGCAGACUGAUGGAUAUGUCUGUUCAAGCAGUAAGUCUUGGUAGGAGUCAAAUGCUUCUACCUAUACGGACAAGCUGUGAUGAGGAGGGAAAUAAUAGUACCGAAGCUUCUGAUGUCACACUGCCAAGAAAAGCUUCUAGUGAGAAAACAACGGCCCGUACCGCAAACCGACACAGGUAGUCGAGGAGAGAAUCCUAAGGUGAGCGAGAGAACUCUCGUUAAGGAACUCGGCAAAAUGACCCCGUAACUUCGGGAGAAGGGGUGCUGCUCUAACGAGCAGCCGCAGUGAAUAGGCCCAAGCGACUGUUUAUCAAAAACACAGGUCUCUGCAAAAUCGAAAGAUGACGUAUAGGGGCUGACGCCUGCCCGGUGCUGGAAGGUUAAGAGGAGUGCUUAGCGUAAGCGAAGGUA